rnacentral:rRNA from 1 species
CAGUCGCCGCGGCAAUACAGAGGGUGCGAGCGUUAAUCGGAUUUACUGGGCGUAAAGCGUGCGUAGGCGGCUUCUUAAGUCGGAUGUGAAAUCCCUGAGCUUAACUUAGGAAUUGCAUUCGAUACUGGGAAGCUAGAGUAUGGGAGAGGAUGGUAGAAUUCCAGGUGUAGCGGUGAAAUGCGUAGAGAUCUGGAGGAAUACCGAUGGCGAAGGCAGCCAUCUGGCCUAAUACUGACGCUGAGGUACGAAAGCAUGGGGAGCAAACAGGAUUAGAUACCCUCGUAGUCCCUGUCUCUUAUAC